rnacentral:rRNA from 1 species
GAGGAAUAUGUUCAAUGUGCGCAUUGCUUGAACCAGCCAUGUCGCGUGCAGGAUGACGGCCCUAUGGGUUGUAAACUGCUUUUUUACGGGAAUAAUGUCAUCUACGUGUAGGUGUUUGAAGGUACCGUAUGAAUAAGGAUCGGCUAACUCCGUGCCAGCAGCCGCGGUAAUACGGAGGAUUCGAGCGUUAUCCGGAUUUAUUGGGUUUAAAGGGUCCGUAGGCGGGCUUGUAAGUCAGUGGUGAAAUCCCGGAGCUCAACUCCGGAACUGCCAUUGAUACUGCAGGUCUUGAAUAUAGUUGAGGUAGGCGGAAUACGUUAUGUAGCGGUGAAAUGCAUAGAUAUAACGUAGAACACCGAUUGCGAAGGCAGCUUACUAAGCUAUUAUUGACGCUGAUGGACGAAAGCGUGGGGAGCGAACAGGAUUAGAUACCCUGGUAGUCCACGCCGUAAACGAUGAUUACUCGUUGUGCGCGAUACACAGUGCGCGACUGAGCGAAAGCAUUAAGUAAUCCACCAGGGGAGUACGUUGGCAACAAUGAAACUCAAAUGAAUUGACGGA